AAAUUAUGAUGAGGGCAACGUAGUUACAAUUCAGUCUCUUCCAUACCUUAUACAAAGUUUCUCCAUCGGCUUGUUGGAAGUUAGUAAUCUCCUUUAUAAUCCU
rfam:Ricinus communis cultivar Hale ctg_1100012335320, whole genome shotgun sequence.